CACGCACGGCUUUCCUCCGCUGGCCACCACCUGGCUCGAGGCUCCCUCAGGGGCGCCGACCUCCCGGGGAGCGCUGUUCUGGGCUCCCAGUUGCUCCCUCUCCGAGUUGCCGUUGUGUCCGGCGGCCGCCCCUGACCCAGCGCUCCUCUCGGGAGGCAGCUGGGAAACCUGGGGACUUUAUGGAGCGCCGGCUGCGUGCCUCUCUCUGCGUGCCUCUCAGGAUGCAAGCAGUUGAUUUGACCAGAAAGGCAUAGUACCAGCAAAGAAAAAGCUUAGGUUUCACAGCGCGAGACCACCAGGAACAGCCCUUAGACGAGAAAUUGGUGAAGGGGAGGAGUUUAUAGCCAGGGCACUCGAGUACACAGGUGAAGAAACAAAGGCAACAAACACACAGGGAUACAGUGAGGAAGGAAGUUGGCAUGAUUCACAAUAGCCAAGAUAUGGUUACAACCUAAACGUCAACAAUGGAUGCAUGGAUAAGGAAAAUGUGACUUAUACAGCAUGGGUAACAACAUGUGUCAUAUACAAACAAUGGAAUAUUAUUCAGCUUCCCCCGUAGAAGAAAAUCUUCCAUUUGCAACAACAUGGAUGAACCUGGAAAACAGUAUGUUUCAUGAAAUAAGCCAGUCACAGAAGGACAAAUACCACAUUAUUCCAUUUCUAGGCGGUAUCUAAAAUAGUCAAGCUCUUUGAAACAGCGAGUAGGAAGAUAGUUGCCAGGGACUGGGGGCAGGGUGAAACGGGGCACUGCUAUCCUGCAGGUA